rnacentral:rRNA from 1 species
CCUGCGGAGGAUCAUUAAUGUGUGUCUGUGCGGCUAGGUGCCCCUAAACAAGGCCCUGCCGCGCACUCCCACCCUUGUCUACCUUACCUGUUGCUUCGGCGGGCCUGCGGGUUCUCGCGAGCCUGCUGCCGGAGGGGUUAGUUCCCCCCUGGCUAGCGUCCGCCGAAGAUAAACGAACUCCAGUCGAAGAUUGAAGUCUGAAGAAAAUUGAUAAAUAAAUCAAAACUUUCAACAACGGAUCUCUUGGUUCCGACAUCGAUGAAGAACGCAGCGAAAUGCGAUAAGUAAUGUGAAUUGCAGAAUUCCGUGAAUCAUCGAAUCUUUGAACGCACAUUGCGCCCUCUGGUAUUCCGGGGGGCAUGCCUGUCCGAGCGUCAUUGCAACCCUCAAGCACGGCUUGUGUGUUGGGCGAUCGUCCCGUCUUAGGAGGGACGCGCCCGAAAGGCAGUGACGGCGUCGUGUUCCGGUGCCCGAGCGUAUGGGGCUUUGUCUUUCGCUCUAGUGGCCUGGCCGACUGUCCGGUCUAACCAUCAUUUACUUCUAGUGGUUGACCUCGGAUCAGGUAGGGUUACCCGCUGAACUUAAGCAUAUCAUA